rnacentral:rRNA from 1 species
AAUAGAUACCCUGGUAGUCCACGCCGUAAACGAUGAGUGCUAAGUGUUAGAGGGUUUCCGCCCUUUAGUGCUGCAGCUAACGCAUUAAGCACUCCGCCUGGGGAGUACGGUCGCAAGACUGAAACUCAAAGGAAUUGACGGGGGCCCGCACAAGCGGUGGAGCAUGUGGUUUAAUUCGAAGCAACGCGAAGAACCUUACCAGGUCUUGACAUCCUCUGACAACUCUAGAGAUAGAGCGUUCCCCUUCGGGGGACAGAGUGACAGGUGGUGCAUGGUUGUCGUCAGCUCGUGUCGUGAGAUGUUGGGUUAAGUCCCGCAACGAGCGCAACCCUUGAUCUUAGUUGCCAGCAUUUAGUUGGGCACUCUAAGGUGACUGCCGGUGACAACCGGAGGAAGUGGGGAUGACGUCAAAUCAUCAUGCCCCUUAUGACCUGGGCUACACACGUGCUACAAUGGAUGGUACAAAGGGCUGCAAGACCGCGAGGUCAAGCCAAUCCCAUAAAACCAUUCUCAGUUCGGAUUGU